rnacentral:piRNA from 1 species
UGCUUGCUCAUUUUCUUGAAAGAGGUGA